rnacentral:rRNA from 1 species
AGAGUUUGAUCCUGGCUCAGAUUGAACGCUGGCGGCAGGCUUAACACAUGCAAGUCGAGCGGUAACAGAUCUAGCUUGCUAGAUGCUGACGAGCGGCGGACGGGUGAGUAACGCGUAGAAAACUGCCCAGUAGUGGGGGAUAGCCCAGAGAAAUUUGGAUUAAUACCGCAUACGCCCUACGGGGGAAAGGGGGCUUCGGCUCUCGCUAUUGGAUGUGUCUGCGUGGGAUUAGCUAGUUGGUGAGGUAAGGGCUCACCAAGGCGACGAUCCCUAGCUGGUCUGAGAGGAUGAUCAGCCACACUGGGACUGAGACACGGCCCAGACUCCUACGGGAGGCAGCAGUGGGGAAUAUUGCACAAUGGGCGCAAGCCUGAUGCAGCCAUGCCGCGUGUGUGAAGAAGGCUUUCGGGUUGUAAAGCACUUUCAGUGAGGAGGAAAAGUUAACGGUUAAUACCCGUUAGCCCUGACGUUACUCACAGAAGAAGCACCGCUAAC